rnacentral:rRNA from 1 species
CACGUAGGGGGCAAGCGUUGUCCGGAAUCAUUGGGCGUAAAGAGCUCGUAGGCGGCUCGGUAAGUCGGGUGUGAAACCCCCAGGCUCAACCUGGGGACGCCACCCGAUACUGCUGUGGCUAGAGUCCAGUAGGGGAGUGUGGAAUUCCCGGUGUAGCGGUGAAAUGCGCAGAUAUCGGGAGGAACACCAGCGGCGAAGGCGGCACUCUGGGCUGGAACUGACGCUGAGGAGCGAAAGCGG